rnacentral:rRNA from 1 species
GACGAACGCUGGCGGCGUGCUUAACACAUGCAAGUCGAACGAUGAAGCUGGAGCUUGCUCCGGUGGAUUAGUGGCGAACGGGUGAGUAACACGUGAGCAAUCUGCCCUUGACUCUGGGAUAACUGCGGGAAACUGUAGCUAAUACCGGAUACGAGGCUCGAAGGCAUCUUCGGGUCUGGAAAGAAUUUCGGUCAAGGAUGAGCUCGCGGCCUAUCAGCUUGUUGGUGAGGUAAUGGCUCACCAAGGCGACGACGGGUAGCCGGCCUGAGAGGGUGACCGGCCACACUGGGACUGCGACAAGGCCCAGACUCCUACGGGAGGCAGCAGUGGGGAAUAUUGCACAAUGGGCGAAAGCCUGAUGCAGCAACGUCGCGUGAGGGAUGAAGGCCUUCGGGUUGUAAACCUCUUUUAGCAGGGAAGAAGAGAAAGUGACGGUACCUGCAGAAAAAGCACCGGCUAACUACGUGCCAGCCGCCGCCGUAA